GCCAAAAACUAGCCUGCACAACACACCAUAAAUCACUUCACACAAACUAAACCAUUUACCAAAUCCAGUAUAUGAGAUAGAACUUUAAACACAGCGCAAUAGCCCAAAUCGUACCACAAGGGAACCAUGAAAGACUAAUUAAUAACCACAAGCACAGCACAGCAGGGCUAAAGCCCCGUACCUCCUGCAUCAUGGUUUAGCCAGCAGCUCGCCGACAAAGUGCCCUGUGUCCGCCACCCCGAAACCAGACGAGCUACCUAAGAGCAAUCACCAAGAAUCAACC
rnacentral:rRNA from 1 species